GGUGAACGCUGGCGGCGUGCUUAAGACAUGCAAGUCGAACGGCAGUCUUCGGGCUGUAGUGGCGCACGGGUGAGUAACGCGUAACUGACCUACCCCAAAGUCGCGGAUAACGAUUCGAAAGAAUCGCUAAUACGUGAUGUGCUGUCAGAUUGUGUUCUGCCAGUAAAGAUUGAUUGCUUUGGGAUGGGGUUGCGUUCCAUCAGCUAGUUGGUGGGGUAAAGGCCCACCAAGGCGACGACGGAUAGCCGGCCUGAGAGGGUGGCCGGCCACAGGGGCACUGCGACACGGGUCACACGUCUACGGGAGGCAGCAGUUAGGAAUCUUCCACAAUGGGCGAAAGCCUGAUGGGGCGACGCCGCGUGAGGGAUGAAGGUCUUCGGAUCGUAAACCUCUGAAUCAGGGACGAAAGACACUUCGGUGGGAUGACGGUACCUGAGUAAUAGCACCGGCUAACUCCGUGCCAGCAGCCGCCGUAACAC
rnacentral:rRNA from 1 species